UGCUGAGGCUGGCGUUUCCUCUUUUCAUUCUUUUUAAAUUUCCAGUCAGCAAAAGCCAGCUGGAUGUCCAGUGUCAGCUUCAAGGCAUGCAUACUGCCAUGAUGGCCCUCUGGACCUGGACUGGGGGGAAACUGAGUUCGGAGUUUCCCUGGACCAGCCUUAAAUUCCCUGGGUAGCUGAGGAUGACUUUGAGCUUCUGCUCCUCCUGCUCUGACCUCCCGAGGGCAGGGACUCCAGGGGUGGGCCACCACACCCAGCUUGCUCUCGCUUUUUUGCAUAUCUGUCUCCACUAGGCUGGGGAGCAGCAAAAGCCGGCUUACUCAGGAACUGCAUAGAGAAAGCCUGGGACCCCGGAGAACCGCUCAUGGUGUGAGGCGCGGUUUAGGCAAAGGGUUCUGAAGCCAGACCGUCUGGAAUAGAAUCUUGGCUCUACCUCUGACCAGCUCCGCGACCUUGAGCAAGUCGCCUUGCCCCCUCUAUGCAUCCUUCGCCAUCAAUGACCUAAAGCUGAGAAGGAGAGCGACCUCACAGGCACGCUGGAGAAAGUGAGGCACGCAAAGCUUGCUCAGAGAGCCGCACCGGAGUAGCAAAACAGGAAUGCAUUCUCCCUCAGGAAGCAUCUUGGCUCUGCUGUCCUGGCCGGCAGGCUGUGAAAGGACGCACUAACAGCCCUAAGUGAAUAACAGCACCCGGCCGAAGAACUGAGGAGCGGUGAGCUCAGCUACAGGGGGCCCUGCUUCAUUCUGGACUCACUGGGCUGCUUUUCCUAAAAGGGGGGGGGGCAGAGAAAGAAAAGAACCCCCUCCCCGGUUAAACCCUGACCUUCAGUCUGUCCCUCCUUCCGCGGGCACUACUUGCUUUAUGUUCAAAUAAAAAAUAAGAUUAAAACCCAGCACUUUCCCUGGAUUCUAAGCUAGAAACAGGAGCCUUUCUCCUCUCCCUUUGGGGUACAUGGGGAUAGGGUUGGGGGAGGAGAGCUUCACUGCUUGCGUCAGGGUCCCCGGGGACCCCCCACGCGCU